GACGAACGCUGGCGGCGUGCUUAACACAUGCAAGUCGAGCGAGAAACCUUCGGGUUUCUAGCGGCGGACGGGUGAGUAACACGUGGGUAACCUGCCUCAAAGAGGGGGAUAGCCUUCCGAAAGGAAGAUUAAUACCGCAUAAUAUUACAGUUUCGCAUGAAGCAGUAAUUAAAGGAGUAAUCCGCUUUGAGAUGGACCCGCGGCGCAUUAGCCAGUUGGAGAGGUAACGGCUCACCAAGGCAACGAUGCGUAGCCGAGCUGAGAGGGUGAUCGGCCACAUUGGAACUGAUACACGGUCCAGACUCCUACGGGAGGCAGCAGUGGGGAAUAUUGCACAAUGGGCGAAAGCCUGAUGAAGCAACGCCGCGUGAGUGAUGAAGGUCUUCGGAUUGUAAAGCUCUGUCUUUUGGGACGAUAAUGACGGUACCAAAGGAGGAAGCCACGGCUAACUACGUGCCAGCCGCCGCCGUAA
rnacentral:rRNA from 1 species